rnacentral:rRNA from 1 species
UAGUAUUUGGUCGUAGACCCGAAACCAGGUGAUCUACCCAUGGUCAGGUUGAAGUUCAGGUAACACUGAAUGGAGGACCGAACCGACUUACGUUGAAAAGUGAGCGGAUGAACUGUGGGUAGCGGAGAAAUUCCAAUCGAACUUGGAGAUAGCUGGUUCUCUCCGAAAUAGCUUUAGGGCUAGCCUCAAGUGAUGAUUAUUGGAGGUAGAGCACUGUUUGGACGAGGGGCCCCUCUCGGGUUACCGAAUUCAGACAAACUCCGAAUGCCAAUUAAUUUAACUUGGGAGUCAGAACAUGGGUGAUAAGGUCCGUGUUCGAAAGGGAAACAGCCCAGACCACCAGCUAAGGUCCCAAAAUAUAUGUUAAGUGGAAAAGGAUGUGGCGUUGCCCAGACAACUAGGAUGUUGGCUUAGAAGCAGCCAUCAUUUAAAGAGUGCGUAAUAGCUCACUAGUCGAGUGACACUGCGCCGAAAAUGUACCGGGGCUAAACAUAUUACCGAAGCUGUGGAUUGUCCUUUGGACAAUGGUAGGAGAGCGUUCUAAGGGCGUUGAAGCAUGAUCGCAAGGACAUGUGGAGCGCUUAGAAGUGAGAAUGCCGGUGUGAGUAGCGAAAGACGGGUGAGAAUCCCGUCCACCGAUUGACUAAGGUUUCCAGAGGAAGGCUCGUCCGCUCUGGGUUAGUCGGGUCCUAAGCUGAGGCCGACAGGCGUAGGCGAUGGAUAACAGGUUGAUAUUCCUGUACCACCUAUAAUCGUUUUAAUCGAUGGGGGGACGCAGUAGGAUAGGCGAAGCGUACGAUUGGAUUGUACGUCUAAGCAGUGAGAUUGAGUGUUAGGCAAAUCCGGCACUCUUAAGAUUGAGCUGUGAUGGGGAGAGGAAAUUGUUUCCUCGAGUCGUUGAUUUCACACUGCCGAGAAAAGCCUCUAGAUAGAGAUUAGGUGCCCGUACCGCAAACCGACACAGGUAGUCAAGAUGAGAAUUCUAAGGUGAGCGAGCGAACUCUCGUUAAGGAACUCGGCAAAAUGACCCCGUAACUUCGGGAGAAGGGGUGCUCUUUAGGGUGCAAGCCCAGAAGAGCCGCAGUGAAUAGGCCCAAGCGACUGUUUAUCAAAAACACAGGUCUCUGCUAAACCGUAAGGUGAUGUAUAGGGGCUGACGCCUGCCCGGUGCUGGAAGGUUAAGAGGAGUGGUUAGCUUCUGCGAAGCUACGAAUCGAAGCCCCAGUAAACGGCGGCCGUAACUAUAACGGUCCUAAGGUAGCGAAAUUCCUUGUCGGGUAAGUUCCGACCCGCACGAAAGGCGUAACGAUUUGGGCACUGUCUCAACGAGAGACUCGGUGAAAUCAUAGUACCUGUGAAGAUGCAGGUUACCCGCGACAGGACGGAAAGACCCCGUGGAGCUUUACUGUAGCCUGAUAUUGAAAUUCGGCACAGCUUGUACAGGAUAGGUAGGAGCCUUUGAAACGUGAGCGCUAGCUUACGUGGAGGCGUUGGUGGGAUACUACCCUAGCUGUGUUGGCUUUCUAACCCGCACCACUUAUCGUGGUGGGAGACAGUGUCAGGCGGGCAGUUUGACUGGGGCGGUCGCCUCCUAAAAGGUAACGGAGGCGCUCAAAGGUUCCCUCAGAAUGGUUGGAAAUCAUUCAUAGAGUGUAAAGGCAUAAGGGAGCUUGACUGCGAGACCUACAAGUCGAGCAGGGUCGAAAGACGGACUUAGUGAUCCGGUGGUUCCGCAUGGAAGGGCCAUCGCUCAACGGAUAAAAGCUACCCCGGGGAUAACAGGCUUAUCUCCCCCAAGAGUUCACAUCGACGGGGAGGUUUGGCACCUCGAUGUCGGCUCAUCGCAUCCUGGGGCUGUAGUCGGUCCCAAGGGUUGGGCUGUUCGCCCAUUAAAGCGGUACGCGAGCUGGGUUCAGAACGUCGUGAGACAGUUCGGUCCCUAUCCGUCGUGGGCGUAGGAAAUUUGAGAGGAGCUGUCCUUAGUACGAGAGGACCGGGAUGGACAUACCUCUGGUGUACCAGUUGUCGUGCCAACGGCAUAGCUGGGUAGCUAUGUAUGGACGGGAUAAGUGCUGAAAGCAUCUAAGCAUGAAGCCCCCCUCAAGAUGAGAUUUCCCAACUUCGGUUAUAAGAUCCCUCAGAGAUGAUGAGGUUAAUAGGUUCGAGGUGGAAGCGUGGU